rnacentral:lncRNA from 1 species
CUUGAUAUGGAAGACCCAUGUUUUUGUUUUGUUUUACUUUGUUUACUCAGGACUUUAUUUUUAACACAUUUUUCAUUCCAAAAUGUAAAAGACUUAAUGCUAAUUACAGGUCUCUUAGGAAAUCCCUUUUCGUUUUAGAGCCUUCUCAUGUACUUACUCUUCACCCUCCUCAGCAUUGAGAGGGCAGCACCACCCUACCAUCUAACCACUCUGCAUUUUUAGAAAAUGAGGACAGCCUGGAUCCUGUA